rnacentral:rRNA from 1 species
UACAGAGGGUGCGAGCGUUGUUCGGAAUUACUGGGCGUAAAGCGCGCGCAGGCGGCUUCGUAAGUCUGUCGGUCAAAUGCCGGGGCUCAACCCCGAGCGUGCCGGGGAUACUGGGAGGCUGGAGACAGGUAGAGGCAAGCGGAAUUCCGGGUGUAGCGGUGGAAUGCGUAGAGAUCCGGAAGAACACCGGAGGCGAAGGCGGCUUGCUGGACCUGGUCUGACGCUGAGGCGCGAAAGCGUGGGGAGCGAACAGG